ensembl:lncRNA
AUUCUCUCUUUAUCUUUAAUGCUUGACAUUUUAAUUAUAAUGUGUCUUAGUGUGUGCCUCUUUGAGUUUAUCUGGUCUGGUACUCUCUGUGCUUCCUGUACUUGGAUUUCUGUUUACUUCCUGAGGUUGGGAAAAUUUUCAGCUGUUAUUUCUUUGAAUACAUUCUCUGCCUUUUAUCUCUCUCUUCUGCUUCUGAGACACCUGUAAGAUGGAUGUUUGUGUGCUUGAUGUUGUUCCAGAAGUAUCUUAGACUAUCCUUGUUCUUCUUAAUUAUUUUUUCCUUUAUCUGUUCAUCUUGGGUGAUUUCCUCUAGUCUUUCAUCCAGUUUGCUGAUCUGUUCUUCUGUAUCAUCUACUCUGCUAAUGAUAGCCUCUAGUGAAUUGUUCAUUUCCAGGAUUGUAUUCUUCAUUUCUGAUUGGUUCUUUUUUAUAUUUUCCAAUUUUUUGUUGAAGUUCUCACUAAGUUCAUCCAUUCUUCUCCCAAGGUCAGUGAGCAUUGUUAUGACUUUUCAUUUGAGCUCUUUGUCAGGUAGAUUGUUUAUUUUUUUUCAUUUAGUUCUUUUUCUUGCUGUUUUCCUGUUCCCUUACUUGGAAUGUAUUCAUUUUCAUCCUCAUUUUGCCUCUUUCUCUAUUCUUAUAUCAAUUUAUUAGGUAAGUCAGCUAUGUCUCCUGAUCUUGGAGAGGUGGCCUUAUGUUAGAGAUGCUGUAUGAGGCCCAGCAGUGUGCUUCCCUCUCAUCACCAGUGCCAAGUGUUCUAGUGGUGACUCCUGUGUGUCCUCCUGUUGUGUCAGGGUUGCUCUUGCUGCAGGUGCCCAGGGAGGCUAGGCUGUUCCCCUGGCCAAUUGGUUGUAAUGUUCUGCUGUGUGUAACUGCUAUGGGCCCUUCAGUCCCUUUAUCAUUCAUGGGGUGCCCCAGCACAGUUGGCUGCAAAGUCUAACAGCACAUUCAUGUUGUAGUUUUUCUGUUAAAUGACUAGGCCUCCAGAAUGGCUGAUUGCUAGGCUGAGGGGCUUACAAUUGCUGUAUGCCUCCAGCCUACAAGGCUCCUGUCAGCUUUCUCAGGGUUGUGCCUGAGUGGGGCUGGCCCUAGCCAUGGGAGCACUCAAUUGUUUCAGGUUUUGGAAGGUGGGGCCAAUCCCCUAUGUAGCUGUCUGAGAAGAACAAGUCUUUUGCCACUGGCAAGCCCCACCACCCACAGGGCCACACAAUCUGUCAACAGAGUCCUGCCCCACGUGUACAACCUCACCCACUGAAGCAGACCCAGUUGUCCCAGUGCAGAGGCCCCACACAUUCCACCAGUGCCUGACACACUCCACCUGUUCUUUGUGCGUGCCCUUCCCCUCAGAGGUGGACACACUUACUGGGCUACAGAGGAUCCAGGCACCCAGCUAUGCAUGCCCACAAGUUGCUUGAGGGCUUGCUGUUGGGUGGUGCCAGGCUUUAGGGCAGGCUGCUUGCCCCAGCUGAGCUGAAUUAAAUUGGCUCCCUAGUGCACAGGGCAAAUCCUGGGUUGACAGGCCAGUGGAAGAACACCAAUGACAUCUGCCAGCAUCUGUGUCAGUAAGCCUGAACUAGGUCACAAUAAUGGCUGACGCCAAUGUCUCAGUCCCUGGAGAAGUCUCACCUCUCACUGAGAUGCACCCAGAGCCUAUUAGCACCCAAGGAUAUUGAGUUGUGUGUAUUUAGUCACACCCUACCCAACUGCCUUCCCUUGAAAAUAUCCUUGGCUGUGACUGAAUAUAUUUUGCAUAGAAUUUUUAAGAAAAAUAACAUGGAGCUAUAAUGAUUCUGCUCACAAACCUGUCUGCUUUCCUGACUGUCCAAAACAGUCUUAUGCAAUGUGUGUUUGCCAAGCAGACCUCUUAGCCCAAUGGAGAGAUUAUAGGUAAACUACAAAAGUGCUCAUAUUACUACCUUCUCCAGACAUACUGUUGAAAUUUGAUUAUUUCCAUAUCCAUUUCAUUCUAGAAUAUAAAAAAUAUAGUCUUAGUAAGAAAGUAUAUAUAAUUAUAUUAUACACAACAUAAUUUG